rnacentral:misc_RNA from 1 species
CUGAUUUUGCCAAGGUUAGUCGAGUCUCUUUUAGAGAAUCCUUUCCGAGGUAAUAUACCACUGUGCACUAUGCUGUAUUUUGGGUGAUUGGGGCUAGUACUCGACACCCAGCAUCAUAUGAACCAAUGAAAUUUUUUGUCUGAAAUCGAUUCUAAAUUGAAA